rnacentral:tRNA from 1 species
GGAGGGAUGGCCGAGCGGUCAAAGGCAACAGACUGUAAAUCUGUCGACGUAAUGUCUACGCAGGUUCAAAUCCUGCUCCCUCCACCA